AGCAGCCGCGGUAAUUCCAGCUCCAAUAGCGUAUAUUAAAGUUGUUGCAGUUAAAAAGCUCGUAGUUGAACUUCGGGGUUUACUCAUUGGUCAGGCUUAACCGUCUGUACUGGUGAGAUGAAUCUCUACCUUCUGAGGAACUUUCAUGCCAUUUAUUUGGUGCGAUUGGAAAUCAGGACUGUUACUUUGAAAAAUUAGAGUGUUUAAAGCAGGCUAACGUCUGAAUACAUUAGCAUGGAAUAAUGAAAUAGGACGUUUGAUCCUAUUUUGUUGGUUUCUAGGAUUGACGUAAUGAUUAAUAGGGAUAGUUGGGGGCAUUAGUAUUCAAUUGUCAGAGGUGAAAUUCUUGGAUUUAUUGAAGACUAACUACUGCGAAAGC
rnacentral:rRNA from 1 species